GACGAACGCUGGCGGCGUGCUUAACACAUGCAAGUCGAACGGAAAGGCCCUGCUUUUGUGGGGUGCUCGAGUGGCGAACGGGUGAGUAACACGUGAGUAACCUGCCCUUGACUUUGGGAUAACUUCAGGAAACUGGGGCUAAUAUCGGAUAGGAGCUCCUGCUGCAUGGUGGGGGUUGGAAAGUUUCGGCGGUUGUGGAUGGACUCGCGGCUUAUCAGCUUGUUGGUGGGGUAGUGGCUUACCAAGGCUUAGACGGGUAGCCAGCCUGAGAGGGAGACCGGCCACAUUGGGACUGAGAUACGGCCCAGACUCCUACGGGAGGCAGCAGUGGGGAAUAUGGCGCAAUAGGCGGAAGCCUGAGGCAGCCACGCCGCGUGCGGGAAGACGGGCGUCGGGUUAAAAACCGCUUUCGCAUGUGACGAAGCGGGAGUGACGGUAAUGGGUAAAGAAGCACCGGCUAACUACGUG
rnacentral:rRNA from 1 species